rnacentral:rRNA from 1 species
UUCGGAUGAAGGUCUGGUGACUGAGUGGCGGACGGGUGAGUAACGCGUGGGUAACCUGCCCUGUACAGGGGGAUAACAGCCAGAAAUGGCUGCUAAUACCGCAUAAGCGCACGGAGGCGCAUGCCUCUGUGUGAAAAACUCCGGUGGUAUAAGAUGGACCCGCGUUGGAUUAGCUAGUUGGCAGGGCAGCGGCCUACCAAGGCGACGAUCCAUAGCCGGCCUGAGAGGGUGAACGGCCACAUUGGGACUGAGACACGGCCCAGACUCC